GUUCUACAGUCAGUCUAGGUGUCGCCAGGUGUUGCUGUCGUGUCGUCAGGUGUUGCUGUCGUGUCGUCAGGUGUUGCUGUCGUGUCGUCAGGUGUUGCUGCCGUGUCGUCAGGUGUUGCUGUCGUGUCGUCAGGUGUUGCUGCCGUGUCGCCAGGUGUUGCUGUCGUGUCGCCAGGUGUUGCUGCCGUGUCGUCAGGUGUUGCUGCCGUGUCGUCAGGUGUUGCUGCCGUGUCGUCAGGUGUUGCUGCCGUGUCGUCAGGUGUUGCUGUCGUGUCGUCAGGUGUUG